CCAUGGCGGCGAGCAGGUUGUUAUCGUCAUGUCUUCCGUGGUUGACCUGGGACGCCGCGGACCACCCGCCGUAGCUCUCGGACUGCUGGCGGGAGGACUACGUCUCGUACCGUUGAUCGUAAAAGAUGUGUCGCGUGCUUUGCCUCCAAGGGUUCAGUUGCCCUAACAUGUGCAGCAGACGGACCUUGUGGGAGCUUGCUGGAGUUAAGAAGCUGUGAGAACAUGUUGUGGCCUUAGGAAAGCUGGCCACUAAGCUCUGCUUGUGGUGUGAGCUGCAUGCCAGAUGCCCAGCCAUGGCCCAUCUGAGAUCCAGAAGCCAGGAAGAAUAAGGCCUACAUUGCUUACCUCUUGGUCACAUGGCUGAUCAGGACAGGUGCAGAUGUGAUUAUUGGCCAUGGGCCUCAGAUGUGGCCUCUGUAACCUCACCAAAGACCUGCAGAACCACCCAUACUGGCUUUGGGCAGCUCCACACUUCUAUCCUGGCAGCCCACGUCCUAAAUUAUGGACCACAUCUGUUGGCUUGGGUUGUUCCUUCAAGACUGAAGUGAGGUCUAUGUAGUAGCUGUAGGGGUGCACAUUGCCUUAGAAGUGAUAAUUAUGUAGGAGGGGAAAGCUAGCUGUAGGUGCUGUGACACAAAUAAACUCAUUAAUUCUUGAA